rnacentral:lncRNA from 1 species
AGGGCCUCACUCUGUCACUCAGGCUGGAGUGAAGUGGUGCAAUCACAGUUCACUGAAACCUUGAACUCCUGGGUACAAGGAAUCCUCCUGUCUGGAACUACAGGCUCUCUCUUUGCCUGCUGCCAUCCACGUAAAACAUGACUUGCUCCUCCUUGCCUUCUGCCAUGACUGUGAGGCCUCCCCAGCCACAUGGAACUGUAAGUCCAUUAAAUCUCUCUUUCUUUUGUAAAUUGCCCAGUCUCAGGUAUGUCUUUAUCAGCGGCAUGAAAACAGAGUAAUACAGAAACUUGGUACCAGUAGAGUGGGGGGGGGGGGUGUUGUUGAAAAGAUACCCCAAAAUAAGGAAGUGACUUUGGAACUGGGUAACAGUUCCAAAGAGUUGGAACAGUUUGGAGGGCUCAGAAGAAGACAAGGAAAUGUGGGAAAGUCUGGAACUCUCUAGAGACUUGUUGAAUAGCUUUGACCAAAAUGCUGAUAAUGAUAUGGACAAUAAAAUCCAGGCUGAGGUGGUCUCAGAUGGAUAUGAGGAACUUGUUGGGAACUAAAGCAAAGGUGACUCUUGUUAUGUUUUAGCAAAGGGACUGGUGGCAUUUUACCCCUUCCCUAGAGAUUUGUGGAAAACUUUGAACUUGAGAAAGAUGAUGUAGGGUAUUUGAUGGAAAAAAUUUCUAAGCAGCAAAACAUUCACUUCAAAAAAUUUGAAGUGACUUGGGUGCUGUUAAAGGCAUUCAGUUUCAAAACAAAACUAGUGCAUAAAAGUUUGGAAAAUUUGCAGCCUAACAAUGCAAUAGAAAAGAAAAUCCCAUUUUCUGAGGAGAAAUUCAAGCCAGCUGCAGACAUUUGCGUAAGUAACAAGGAGCUGAAUGUUAAUCACCGAAGACAAUGGGGAAAAUGUCUCCAGGGCAUGUCAGAGACCUUUGUGGCAGUCCCUCCCAUCAUAGGCCUGGAGGCCUAGGAGGAAAACGUGAUUUUGCGGGCCUGGCCUAAGGUCCUCGUGCUGUGUGCAGCCUAGAGACUUGGU